rnacentral:rRNA from 1 species
UACGUAGGGUGCAAGCGUUAAUCGGAAUUACUGGGCGUAAAGCGUGCGCAGGCGGUUCUAUAAGACAGAUGUGAAAUCCCCGGGCUCAACCUGGGAACUGCAUUUGUGACUGUAGAGCUGGAGUACGGGCAGAGGGGGGAUGGAAUUCCGCGUGUAGCAGUGAAAUGCGUAGAUAUGCGGAGGAACACCGAUGGCGAAGGCGGGUCUCUGGGGCCGAUACUGACGCUGAGGAGCGAAAAGCGUGGGGGAGCAAACAAGG